rnacentral:tRNA from 2 species
GGCCUUAUGGUCUAGUAGCAUGAUUUUCCCUUUGGGUGGGAGAGGUCAGGGGUUCAAUUCCCCUUGAGGCCC